CAGCUGCUUUCCGCAGUGCUGCGACUCUCAGACAAUGCAGCGCCUGCAAAAUGCCUCCGACAGCUUUUUAGGGACACAGUACAGCAUUGGAUUUCUGUACACGAGAAAGGAGAAGACAGCUCAAGCCAAUUGAAGAGAAAAUUCGCCGAGAUCGUAUCAAUGCCAGCAUCGACAAACUGAAAACAUCAUUAUGCCAACAAAUGAAAGAAAUGAAGCCCAGCUUGAAGCUGGAAAAGGCUGACAUCUUGGAGGUGACCGUUCAGCCCAAGCGGCAAGAAGGGCUUCAGCAAUUGUCUACAGGAGACCUUCAGCUACCUGUCUCUACACAUCCCUCAGCAACCAUCUGAGCAAGUAGCCAUUAGGAGUUUCUCUACAGACCAAGGGACUACCUUCCAGAAAACUGCAGCAACCAAGAUCAUAUCAAAUUCUGCUGCAGGUUCAUCACAGUCACACCAGCAGUGUCAGGGAACUCUGUGGAGGCCGUGGCAGAUGAAUGGACAGUUUGCCAUGGAAGACCUUCUCUAAUCAGGGAGCUUCCUGGUUCUAUAAGGACAUUCUCAGUGAACUCAGGUUUGAUUUUACUUCUGUUCACAGUACUUCAGGUAUUUCACUCUGCACCUCUGUAACUUAUGCUCU